CGUCUGUCCGGCCAAUGGGGGGACACUCCUGGGCUCACAUGACGCGCCUCUGCGCCUCCACUCUCCUCACACCAUUCAACCACGGAGAGAAGAGGCAUCACUGAAGGACUGGAGACCGGCGAAAUCGGACGUCAACCGCCACGCAACCGCACAGAGGCUUAUUUAUCACGCAUCAAACUUUACUCGAAGUGUACGGUCGCUGCGUCGACGAAAUGACGUCCCGCGUCUCGAAACCCCGGACUUUUUCCCGCUCCUCAUGCGCGGCGAGACGCCGCGCAGCGAGAUAACGCCCCGAAGUUAUCGCAAUGACUAUUUUGCAAACCCUGGUUUGAGGCUGACUACAAACACGACAUCACCUCCCGCCGUCAUCCACCAACGCCACCCCCUCCACCGCCACCCAACAAUCGCACCCAUUCCCUGGAGAGGAACCCCAUGCAGAAUGCACGCAAAAGAAAUGAAUCGAAGGUCCAGACAUGAAAGAGUCGAGAGACACAGGCACACACACACGCAAACACGGGGUGCUGCGUCUGUCUGCGGUCUUCAACCAGCCUGCCAAAAGAUACACACACACACGCACACACAUUACGGUGCAGCGUGGUGAACACCAGGUGCAAGAGGAAGGGACAUUCUUCUGCUUGCUCCAACACAUCUGAUGCUACCUGAUGUUUUAUGGUAUAGGUGGUAACCUGUUCUGUAUAUGUUUGAAUAAUGCUGUAGAAAUACAGGAAUAAAAAAAGAUAGUGCUGUAUCAGGG